rnacentral:rRNA from 1 species
CAGUCUGCAACUCGACUGCACGAAGUCGGAAUUGCUAGUAAUCGCGGAUCAGCAUGCCGCGGUGAAUACGUUCCCGGGCCUUGUACACACCGCCCGUCACACCAUGAGAGUCGGGAACACCCGAAGUCCGUAGUCUAACCGCAAGGAGGACGCGGCCGAAGGUGGGCUUGAUAAAUUGGGGUGAAGUCGUAACAAGGUAAC